AUUGAACGCUGGCGGCAGGCCUAACACAUGCAAGUCGAACGAGUGGCGGACGGGUGAGUAAUGUCUGGGAAACUGCCUGAUGGAGGGGGAUAACUACUGGAAACGGUAGCUAAUACCGCAUACCAUCAGAUGUGCCCAGAUGGGAUUAGCUAGUUGGUUGGGUAACGGCUCACCAAGGCGACGAUCCCUAUCUGGUCUGAGAGGAUGCCCAGCCACACGGGAACUGAGAAACGGUCCAGAUUCCUACGGGAGGAAGCAGUGGGGAAUAUUGCACAAUGGGCGCAAGCCUGAUGCAGCCAUGCCGCGUGUAUGAAGAAGGCCUUCGGGUUGGAAAGUACUUUCAGCGGGGAGGCGUUACCCGCAGAAGAAGCACCGGCUAACUCCGUGCCAGCAGCCGCGGUAAUAC
rnacentral:rRNA from 1 species